rnacentral:rRNA from 1 species
UUUAAUGGCCGCAGUAUUUUGACUGUGCAAAGGUAGCAUAAUCAUUAGUUUCUUAAUUAGGAACUGGAAUGAAAGGUUGAACGAAAUAAUAACUGUCUCUUUAUAAUUAUUUUAUAAUUUUAUUUUUAAGUUAAAAAGCUUAAAUUAUUUUAAAAGACGAGAAGACCCUAUAGAGUUUUAUAUAUUUUAAAAUAAAGUUAAAAUUAGAAUUAUUUUUUAUUUAAUUUAUAAUAUAUUUAAUUGGGGUGAUUGAAAAAUUUAAUGAACUUUUUUUUUAUUUUACCAUAUAUUUAUGAAUUUUUGAUCCAUUAUUUAUGAUUAUAAGAUUAAAUUACCUUAGGGAUAACAGCGUAAUUUUUUUUAAGAGUUCUUAUCGAUAAAAAAGUUUGCGACCUCGAUGUUGGAUUAAAAUAAAAUUUUGGUGUAGAAGCUAAAAUAUUAGGUCUGUUCGACCUUUAAAAUUUUACAUGAUCUGAGUUUAAACCGGUGUGAGCCAGGUUGGUUUCUAUCUUUAUAAAUAUAUAAUAUUUUAGUACGAAAGGACCAAAUAUUUAUAAAAAUUAUUUUUUAUUAGAAUAUUAUU